AGCUUCUCUUACAGUUCAUUAGUGUUUGGAGAGAAUGGGAAGUAGAGCCUCAAAAGCAAAUGCAGUUACGCCGGAACCCAUUUCCACUACUGUCACUGUACGUACCACUGUAUAUACCUCUGCGGCUGACUUAAGAGCUCCAGAAGUCCAAUACUGGAUUGAUAUGUAAAUGUUCCACCUUUAUUUCCUGACUUCAAACACAGAGUUCCUUGAGACUGCAGACUCCUUCUUGCAGGAGGAGUUACAUCUAUGAAAUACUCUACAUAUCGUUAGCCUUUAUCUCCGGCAUCUUGUUGACUGUUCUGGUCUUUGCAAUCAUCUACAUCAUCAGAGGAAAGUGUAAGAGAUCCCACCAAAAUUUACAAGAGCGAGUUCCCUCCCAGACAGCGACUGAGGAAUCUGCUAAGGACAUCCAGAAUGAGGUUGCUUACACCACUCUAGUCUUCCAGCGAAGUCAGACAUUGAUGGCUGUGUGAAGUUUCUAGUGAAAUGAAGACGUUUGCAUGUUCUGCACAUUAAAUGCCACCAGAACAUUAUAUCAAGGCCUACAGUGAUCUGAAAAAUGCCAGCACUGCCGUAUGUAACAUCAGCUCAUUUUAUAGUUAUAAGGGGAAACGAACGUCUCCUGUUCCAAACUGCUUGCCAACAGUUGUGGACAAGUUGCUUUUUAUACCGUAUUUCCUCAUCUGUAGAAAUUCUGGUGAGUCCUUACAAUGUGCUUGUAAAGCUUCCAUUUGUGUGUUUGCUAGUGCUUUGAACUACCAGAAUUGAAAAAUGGAAAUGUUUCUCUGCAUUUAUUCACGUCUGUGCCCUUGUUUCUCUCUUCUGUCACUGACUAUAGAAUUUUUCUUGUUUUUUGAUUGCCAGGUGCUCUGAUAAGUUAUUUUCUGCUUAUUGAAGUUAUGAUAAUGAAAUGUUUGUAUGCAAAUGACUGCUUCCUGAUUGGAUCACAGAAAGGAAAUGCACAAUCACAGUGUGACAAUAAAAAUUUAUGG